rnacentral:tRNA from 1 species
GAACGUAUGGCUUAGUGUUUAGAGCGCUUGGACAGUAAACAAGAGCGCACGAUUCAAAUCCUGCUAUGUGUA